ACUGGCAAGGAUGAUAGACACUUGCCCUCACUGAGACUGUCAUUUGUUGAUGAGAGCAAUGUUCUGAGCCAGU